rnacentral:lncRNA from 1 species
UAACAUAGUAUAUUACGCGAAAAUAGUAUAAUAUAUUGCAAUAUAUUUUAAAAAUAUAUAAUAUAUAUAUGUAUAAACGGUGUAUAUUUUAUACUAUUUGUAUAGAUAUUUACACUAUUUGUGUAAAUGUUGCACUAUUAUGAGAACAUGUUGCACCAUUUAGAUGUGUGCUGCACUCUUUCUUUUUGAAAAUUAAAUUUUAUUGCAUAUUAAAUAAAGUGUCAAAUUUCUUGAAAAUCAUAACUGUUAAGUCAUAAUUAUAUGUACCUUUCUCGUGAAAUGAGAAAGGUAUAAAAUAAAAUGAAAGAGUAUAAUUUUAUAAGAGUAUAAUU